rnacentral:lncRNA from 1 species
GAUGCUGCCUCUUGCUGUGGUGACAGACAUGAGGCUGGGCUGGGAGCAGUCAGAGACAGAUGGGAACGACCUCCUGGAAGAAGCCUGGCACGGAGGAGCUGCAAGGGCUGUGUGUGCUCUGGCUCCACCGCUCCCCGUGGCACAUCUCCAAGGCCCGCAUCCCUACGGCCCUGCAGAGGAGAGCGCCACGCCCUCCCUGCAUCCGGGUAACCACAUGCCAGGGACGUGAGGACAGCCAUGGACGCACUUCAGCAGGUUUGAAAACUCGCUCCAACUUAUUUGUUUCGUCUCUUUCUCUGCAGAAGUUAGAUUGAUCCUUAGUGCACCUUACCUUUCAUUCACUUUCUAACAUGCUGUGUGGUCUUAGGCAGAUGGCUCAUCCUCUCUGGUCUUAUAUCUUUUUUUUUUUUUUUUUUUUUUUUUUUUNGGCUGCACCCUCGGCAUAUGGAGGUUCCCAGGCUAAGGGUCCAAUCAGAGCUGUAGCCAUGGGCCUACACCACAGCCACCACAACGCCAGAUCUGAGCCGUGUCUGCGACCUACACCACAGCUCACGGCAACGCCGGAUCCUUAACCCACUGAGCAAGGCUAGGGAUCGAACCCGCAACCUCAAACAUGGUUCCUGGUCGGAUUCAUUAACCACUGAGCCAUGACGGGACCUCCAGGUUUUAUAUCUUGAAGAUGACGUGGUUGGAGUAGACACCAUCUAAGAGGUGGCAGGAAUUGUAGGAAACGUCUAGUCUGCUUUCUGACCUUAUGGAGAAGGAGAGUAAGUUCUAGAGAGAGAAAAGGCCUUCCCUUCUGAUUCCAGAAAUUCUUGGGCUCUAAAUACUGAGCACUUCACGUGGUGUUGCAGGCGGUGCCAGUGUUAGACACACAGAGGCCGCCUGACCCAGCAGACGUGGGCUCUUCCUCGCGUGCCUGCCAGCAGUGAAGGUGGAGGCUGAACCAGGCGCUGCCUCAAAGCCUGUUGGUUUUCCCCGCGAACGUGUCUCUGCCCGGCCGCGCCAGGUGGCGGGACGGAUGAUGGAGCUGAAUCCAGUUCCCACCCAGCUGGUGGAGACGCUGGUGGCAAAGGUCGCAACGGGCACAGCAGGGGUCGUGGGCGGAAAGGGUUUCCAUCCUCCCAGCCGGCAGCCCGUGCCUCUUUCCGGGUAAGAUACAUUCUCUUCCUGGCUAUUUACUGGCACCAACCUUAAUUCUGCCUCUUAAAGUGGCUGUUGGGGUGGGAAGAGAAAUUGGGGGUCAAGAGAGAGAGGCGUGUUCUCAGGAACCUAGGGACUGUCAGACCGAGAAAACUGUGGCGCUGAGAGGGG